rnacentral:rRNA from 1 species
GCCUGCGGAGGGAUCAUUACUGAGUUUACGCUCUACAACCCUUUGUGAACAUACCUAUAACUGUUGCUUCGGCGGGUAGGGUCUCCGCGACCCUCCCGGCCUCCCGCCUCCGGGCGGGUCGGCGCCCGCCGGAGGAUAACCAAACUCUGAUUUAACGACGUUUCUUCUGAGUGGUACAAGCAAAUAAUCAAAACUUUUAACAACGGAUCUCUUGGUUCUGGCAUCGAUGAAGAACGCAGCGAAAUGCGAUAAGUAAUGUGAAUUGCAGAAUUCAGUGAAUCAUCGAAUCUUUGAACGCACAUUGCGCCCGCCAGCAUUCUGGCGGGCAUGCCUGUUCGAGCGUCAUUUCAACCCUCAAGCUCUGCUUGGUGUUGGGGCCCUACAGCUGAUGUAGGCCCUCAAAGGUAGUGGCGGACCCUCCCGGAGCCUCCUUUGCGUAGUAACUUUACGUCUCGCACUGGGAUCCGGAGGGACUCUUGCCGUAAAACCCCCAAUUCUCCAAAGGUUGACCUCGGAUCAGGUAGGAAUACCCGCUGAACUUAAGCAUAUCAUA